rnacentral:misc_RNA from 1 species
GAAGACUUGAUUAGCCUCAGUAGAUCUUUCACUCUAUUUGUACUCAUUGAUACGGACAAUUGUAGAUUUGUCCUUACAGUAGUUCUUAGAAUCAGAUUGUCUGAAGGAAUUUCUAAUGCAGUCAUAAUUGCUUGCAUAGUUGAAGUAGUUGCCGUUGCAGUCAUUGCAAGAAUGCAGUUAACAUUGAGUUCAGUUCGAAGUAGAGAUGCUCUAA